ACUCAUUAUUUCCGUUUUCUCUCUCUUCCUACUCUCUUUCUCUUUCCUCCUCUGCUAUUGUCCUACUAUUUUUCCACUUUCUAUCUUCCAUUUUCGCUCUUCCAUUGAAGGUCAAUAUGAGUUUUCCAUUGAAGUGUGUUCUGAGCUUCCUUUCUUUCAUUAUUGCUGAGAUAAUUAUCCGUAUCCGUACUGAAUAAGUGUGAAUUUUUACUAAUGGAAAUUCUGAUUUAAUGAUUCGACAAAUAUAAGAGCAUGAAAUUGAUGUUGAAGGCCUAACAAUGGAGGAUUUGAGGUUUAACAAUGGCGAUAAUUAGAUGAGGUUUAACAAUGGCGAAAAUUAGAUGUUUUUGGCGCUGUUUGCAAUUUUGCAUGCUUGAGAGUUGAGACGAAAUGGGGAAAAAUAAGAUAGUUGCAAUUGAGAUUUUGGAAAAGAGAUUUGCUUAGUUUCAUUCACAAUUGUGUUCUUUGGUUUCUUGGUGCAUUUCAGAAGGUUAGUUCUUUGUUAACUCUUUCUCUGAAUAUAGUUAGUGUGCUAGAUGGAUUUUGUUUAUUAGUUUUUGUGAGAUUAAAUUUUGGUCUGUUUGAAGUAACAUGGAUUGUUUUUAUGUUUUAUUUUUGGGGGUUUUUUAUUUAUUUAUUUUUUAAUUUUUAAUGAGGUUAUUGUGUGAUUGUUUGUCUGAUUAUUGAUCUAAUUUUUAAAAAUAUAUACAGUAUUAUUGUGGUUCUAAUUAUUUUGUUUACCUUGGAUCUUAGUAGUGUUGAUUUUCUUAUUAAGAAAUUAUUAGUGCACAAUUUUGAAGUAUGUUGUUUUUAUAUAAUUUGUAGUGGUUUUCUGUAGUUCAAAAUUUUAAACUUAAUUAAAUAUCACUGUUUCUGAGUUGAUGCCAUAUUUACAAUUUUGAUGAAUUCUUAUUACAGUGGGAUUACUCAAAAUCUGUAACAAAUUCCUGAUAAUUUCAGUUCUUUUUCGAUAAGGCGGAGUAAAAAUUCAGAAUUUCUAUGACUCGGCGCUAUAUCGGACAGGAACCACAUCUUUGCUUCCUCUCAUCCCUUUUCUUUUCUGGUUUUAUGGUUCAUAUAAUUAAUGUUGCUAUUGCUCUACUACCACUGCCAUCUUUUCAUUGGUGGUGGUGGGGGUAGCGAUGGCGGUGAUGGUAACCCAUCUUUGCUACUUGCUUGCUGCGGGUUAUCAACUUCAUAUCAUUUCAUUCUCUCUAACUUAGUUGCUACUAUCCAAGUAAAACUACAUCGCCAUUCACAUAUGAUGGUCCUUGAUAUUAGAGUUUCUUGGCUACAUAUUUGUUAGCUUGUUGCUUUAUGAUCCUAGAUAGGAAGUCCGAGGUAAUUCAUACCUAAGGACACUCAGCUCGUUUAGAGUGAUCAUUAUGGAUAGGAAUUUCCUGAUGAUAUUUUUGCAGCAAUUCAAUAUGAAUACAAUUAGUGUUCAAAGUUCGAAAGAUUGUUUCAGUACAUAUAAGUUGUUCUUAAAGAUGUUGUAUAGUAUGAUGAGACUUUUAGUUUUAGAGUAAUUAGCAGUAAUUCUGUCAUUCAGUUUGAAGUUUCUUGCUUGGUAUCUCAUUGGCAAAACUGUUUGUUUAAGUGUCCUGUAAUUGUCUAAUACUCGUAUCAUGUGACGGGUGGGGUAUCCUCUCCCUUAAAUCAUCCUUACUGCCCACUAAUCAUUUAGUUCUUGAGGUUUACAAAGAGGUCUUUUUUUAAAGAUGUAUAGGACAAUCUUUCUCGUGGGAACCUAGCUGUUGUUAAGAUUUUGCAACAAAUGUUUCCUGAACUAGGAAGGCUUCAGUUUGUAUAUGCAGAUUUGGGUUGCUAUUACUCAAAAGUGUAUUUGAAGUAUAAAUAAGAUCAUCAGUAUAAAAUUAAGGUAUGAAUUCAGUAUCACCCUGUGACUGUCAUCGGGACAGAAGAGUAGUAGCAGACUUUUGUAAUUUAAUUGCUUUAGUUUUAUGGCUUGGCUAAUUUUUUAUUGGAGUGCUUGAUUCUCAAUGUUUAGCUAUUGACAAGAUUCAAGUAGGGCAGGGACUGUUCUAAAUAAGCAUUUUGAUGCUUAUAUAUUCGUAUUUGGCUUGACUGCCUCUUUAAUCAAUUUAUUUUAAUUUGCUAUAUGUUAAUAUUGAAUUACGGUCUGGUUUUAAGGAAUAAAAAAAGAAAGAACGUUAAGAUGUAGCCUGUGACAUGGGGGAGUACAAAGGUGGAGUUGGUGAUUCAUAACAAAAUUUCUUAAUUUUAAUUUUUAUUGUUUUCUGCCAAUUCAAACUGUCUGUUACCCUACUGUACUGAAUAUCAAGUGGCAUUUAAAAGAAUAUAGAGUAACUUGCCUCAUCCUAUUGUAGCUGUCUUAAUAUUGGUGUUUUAUAUGAUUUGUGUGUAAAUAUAGUUACUGUUGUCUGGGUUGGAUUCCAUGUAUUGAGUAUUUAAAUGUUAGAAUUGGUGCUUUAGAAGUGCAAUUGAGUAUAAGGAGCUCCAGCCUUAAGUACUUGCUGAACGUUUUAAGGCUGUUCCCAAGGUGAUUGUGAAUCAUCACAACCAUACUUUUCAAAGGAAUCCUUCUUAGGUUGAAGAAUAUGGAUGGUUACAAACUUUCCCAGGACUUUAAUAGCAUCGCAGUUAUUCAACCUGUGUUGUAGAUAGACCUUCUGCAUUAGUGAUAUUGACUUUGAAGUGAUUACCAAGCAGGUGAAUCUUUUGAACUUUGGUCUCACUGUCCGCGUCUAGCCCUAGGGACACGUUUCUUCUUUUGUGGAUCUAAUUCAGCCUUAAUUGAUACUACAUUUGGUAGAAUUCCAUGGUGACCCAAUUCCAUCUCAUGAGAUGUAAAUAUGAUUUUUGUAAUUCAUAGAAGAAAAAUAGGAUCAUAUAUAAUAGUAUAAAAGAAAUUUUGAAAUAUUCAUGCUUAAUAUAAUUAUUAGUUAAUUGACAAUUUUUUUUAUUUUUUAUUUUAUCAGGACAACAGAACGCAUGCAUCUUGAUGAGCUUAACCCUAGCUCCAUGAAUUUCACAGUCAAAUUUAAAGUUGUUGAAAAAGCUAGAUAAAGGAUAUCCUCCAACUCUAGAGAAACAAUCUUUCAAACUUUAUAUCUACUUGAUGAAAAGGUAUAUUAUGUCUUUUUGGAUUUUGUCAAUAUAAUAUCUAUGAACCUUAUUAAAUGCAUGUAUUUAAUAGGAUCUGGUUUAGGUUUUUUAAAAAAUAACUAAUUUUGCAUGGAAUCUAUGGCUUUAUGUGAGAUCUAAUUUUGAUAAAAACAACCAACUAGGGUUUCGUAGAAAAAAAACACAUGCAAUUAUUGGUAGAUGAAAUUUACCUGUCAAAAUAAUAAGGACAAAGCUAAUUUAUAAAUUAUGUCCGAUAAAUGUUACAUGAAUCAUUGAGCAUUACAUCAAAACUCUUGUAAGUUACUGUAAUAUAGUGAAGUUGUUAGGAUGAACUUUUGUAAACUUUUGUGCUGAUCUUACCAUACACAUGCUAUCUUAUCACAAAUUAAUCAUAAGAAUAUAGUGAAGUUGUUAGGAUGUUGUUUGGUGUUAUAGAUGAAAUUUACCUAUGAAAGAAGUCAACGGAUGACCAUGCAUGUCCCCUCCUCUUCUCCAGGGUCAUUUUUGGAUACUCUUGUAGACAAUCUUCCUUAAUAAAGAUGUAUUUUUUUUUUUUGCUGCUGCUCUGAUUGCAGUCUGAUUCGAGGACUACAAAUGAAUAAUCUUCCUCUCAUUAAUACACAAAAUACCCAUUUGUUUUGAGAUUACUUUAUACUGAUGUGUGAUCUGUUUGUCUCUAUGUCCAACCAGAGCUUGCGUUUGUACCAGCCUAAGCAUCUUUUUUUCCACCUAUUCCCUUCCACUUUGAAAGGACAUUCUUUUUCUUCAAAUCAUAGUGGAUUAGGGGAUGCAUGUAUUCAUUUGAGUGGAUGAUGGAGUAUGUUAUUGAUCAUAUUGAUAUGGUGGGAGUCGUAUAUUACAGAACUAAUGAUGUGUUGUUGAUGGUAUAGGCUGUAAAUGAUUUUUGGAAUGGCUAUGUAAUCAAUGUUGUAUAGGUUGCAAAUGAUUUUUGGGAUGAGUACUACAAUGAGUGCAAUCAUACAACAUGUGUUUUUAGCAUUGAAUUAAAUUAUACAUACUCAAAUUUAUUUUAGAAUAACAAGAUGCGUGUCACUCUUUUUGGAGAUCAAAUUAAAGCAUAUGACGAAGCCAUUGCAUACAAUGGAGAGUAUGAAAUCUCUAAUGCAACUGUGAAGCCACUAGAUGAUCAAUACCAUACUGUCCAUGAUCUGUUACCAUUUCAGCUACAUUUCAAUCAUCGGACAGUUGUUCAGCCAUGCCCUCAAACAGGCCAUGUAGUACCACAAUAUCAGUCAAUAGCUUCAAUUCCAAGACUCCAUAACAGACCUUGACCAUCUCUGCAUGGAAUGACCUCUCGGGAACUGCAAGUGAUGCUCUAAAUUCUGGCUGAAAAAUUUGCCGUAGUUGGCUUCACAGCACUUAAACACAAUCCUCGUAGAGCUACCAUGUCUACAAGGAUUAUUCAUAACCCAAAAGGAGAUAGAGAGAAUGUCUUACGUGAAUGGUAAUUUAAGUCAUUACAAAUAUUAAUUAAUUGAUAAGAAAUAAUUACUCUAACUUCUUAAACUCGCGUUUGUGAUGCCAUAUUAUUUUUUAUACAUGUAUAAGGCUGUUGCACAAAAGCAACUACUAUCUGACAGGCAAAAGUUUUACAAAUUCGAGAUACUACACAAGAACAAUCUAUGAAAACAAUUGAAGAACUGAAAGACAAGAAGGUAGUGGAAAAAAAAUGCAGUGUUCCUAAAGGAAGGCAAUUCACAUGCAUCGUCUGUGACAACAAGAACUGUGUCUCAGCUCCAAGGGUUGCUUUCAAAUUCGACGCAGCUGAUGUAACAGGUUCAAUAACAUUGACAUCGUUCAACAAUGACACAGAGAAAUUGUUCAACAAGAAAUCAAAGCUAUGAAAGAUCUUGUAUGACUCUUUUACAUAAUACUUCUAUUAAAUUUACACAUAGCUUAAAAGCAAUUGCAAACAUUCUACUUAUAAUGAAUAUUGUUAAUAAGAUACAUAUCCUUACAAUGCUAUAUUUCAAUUAGAACAACUUACAAUACACCGAUAAUAUAUAUGCUAAUUACAAAUGUAAUGUAUAGGGUGAUGUAGUUGCCUUUCAAGCAACUGAAGAAAAACUCAGGAAAAAAAGACAACUUUCUUCAAACUCGGUCCAUCUAAUUUCCUAGGUUCAAGCAGGGUUUUAGGAUGGUCACUCAAAACUA